UGAACUUAGCUUGCUAAGUUUGAUGGCGACCGGCGCACGGGUGAGUAACACGUAUGCAAUCCACCUGUAACAGGGGGAUAACCCGGAGAAAUCCGGACUAAUACCCCAUAAUAUGGGCUCUCCGCAUGGAGGGCCCAUUAAAGAGAGCAAUCUUGGUUACAGACGAGCAUGCGCUCCAUUAGCCAGUUGGCGGGGUAACGGCCCACCAAGGCGACGAUUGGUAGCCGGACUGAGAGGUUGAACGGCCACAUUGGGACUGAGACACGGCCCAGACUCC
rnacentral:rRNA from 1 species